AGUGGGUGUCCUUGCCCGCAUCAUUGCUAACAACUGCACGGCGUGGGCAGUGAUAGCUGAGAGAUGCAGCUGGAGCCAGAGGACACACUCAGACCCGUUCAUGUCUAGCAGAAGUUUGUUUGUAGUUGAUGUGAGCUGGGUUUGCUCACAGGUUAGAGCCCAAGCGUUGUGUGUUCAGCACCACGCAUACUUAAGUGGUCCCAACAUCUGAGAGAGACAGCUUUUGUAGCAAUCCUUAGAGAAGUGCCACCACCUCGUUGAUGUCAGCUUAUCUGAAGAGACCUCUUGACCUGAAGUCCAGCAGAAAUUGCCAACAUAUGUUCAGAUUGUUUUCAUACAAACAAAGAAGAAAUGGAAUGGUACAAGAUUGGAAACUGCAUUUAUUUUAAU